CUCUGGAACUGAGGACUAUGAAGGCACCAGUUGCUGCUGUAACAGGAGGUCCCUGGACUUGUUGCCAGUAGGUGGGGGUUGCACAGGGAGCCACCCAGACUCUUCUGCCUGGAGGGAGCAGGGGGCCUCUGACAGCUGUGCAGAGCUCAGGCGGAGGCCUCGUGUGUGCUGACUGCUCCUCAGCUGUGUGGACGAGGCAGGCA
rnacentral:lncRNA from 10 species